AGCGAACGCUGGCAGCAGGCCUAACACAUGCAAGUCGAACGAAGCCUUCGGGCUUAGUGGCGGACGGGUGAGUAACACGUGGGAACGUACCUUUUGGUUCGGAACAACUCAGGGAAACUUGAGCUAAUACCGGAUGAGCCCUUAGGGGGAAAGAUUUAUCGCCGAAAGAGCGGCCCGCGUUAGAUUAGCUAGUUGGUGAGGUAAAGGCUCACCAAGGCUACGAUCUAUAGCUGGUCUGAGAGGAUGAUCAGCCACACUGGGACUGAGACACGGCCCAGACUCCUACGGGAGGCAGCAGUGGGGAAUCUUGCGCAAUGGGCGAAAGCCUGACGCAGCCAUGCCGCGUGAAUGAUGAAGGUCUUAGGAUUGUAAAAUUCUUUUACCAGGGACGAUAAUGACGGUACCUGGAGAAAAAGCCCCGGCUAACUUCGUGCCAGCAGCCGCCGUAACAC
rnacentral:rRNA from 1 species